UUUUUUUUUUUUUUUUUCAUCUUUCCCAAAUUGGAUUAGUACUGCUGCCUCACAGUUCUUUUCUUUUAGUAGAAUUCUUCUGUAAGCCAAUUCCAAUUCAGAGUCAAUUAAUAAAUACCUAACCCGUGUAGCAUUACUCCACCGCCUAAAAAAAAAAAAAAGCCUGCCGCCUUCCUUUUUUUUUUUAUUCUUCUUUUACUAAAAUUAGGACAUUAGUGUCGUGUUGGAUUGCUUCUCCUAUAUUAACACCAAUUCCUUUUGCCACCGUCCGCCAACGCUUAUAAAUACCCAUGCUCCUCAUAUUAUUUCACCACAAACUACAAAGGUCUCUUGGCAGCAGUUUCGAGUUCGAUUGGAGUUAACAGCAAGGCAGAUUGCAGGAAUGGUUCACUUUAAGGACUAUACCUCUCCAUCCUCCAACAAAAGUAUCUUCUUCUUGAGGCUGAUGAUGGUACAAUUUUAUCCAAUCUAUUGACUCACACUCCACUGGUUCAGUUUUAUCUUCUUGUUCAGGCAGAUUGCAGGAAUGGUUCAAUUGAAUGUUGCGAGCUCCCUUCCUUACCUAGGGCGUCGAAUGCUCCAGGGAGAUAUACGUUGGGGAAGUACUAUGGAGAUAGAUGGUGAAUUUUGUCAUAUUCAAAGAUAUUGAGAAUGGGCCGAGGACAUUUUGGCUAGAAGUCAACAAACUCUGAAGGUAGCGAAAGUAUAUGAUGUUGUUUAUGCUUCUUUAUUUACCUAUGAUCGAAGUUCAAACAUAUUGCAAGCCUUUCUUGAAGCAUGAUGUUCAAGAACCAAUACGUUACUAACAUCGACUGGAGAACUCUCUAUAUCCUUUUGGGAUUUACAUGAAAUUGAGGGCCUACCUAUCUAAGGUCUUCCUUAUGAAGAAGUAGUGUCUGGAUUCAAAGAACUCAUAGGUGUUGAUGAGAAGAAUGAAAGAUUCAUCCCUUGUACCUGUGAAUUCUUAUUUUUAAUCUUUCAGCAUCUUUAAGAAGGAGAGUUUCAUAAUCCAAGAGUUACUCUAAGCAAGUGGAUAAAGUUUUGGUGUAAAAGAAUCUUGAGAUUUGAGGCAGCUCCAGUGAGGAAAAACAAAAAAUAUGUUCGCUUCAAGUCAACACAUAACCCGACUGGGACUAUUCCUAACGUAGCAAAGUGGUCAAGCGCAGAUAAUGCGACAUUCUCUAAACUUGGAGUAGGGUAUGAACAUAGGAUUGAUACAUAUUUGGCAGCAUUUUAAACAUGUUGGUUAUUCAUCUUUGUGUUUCCUUCUAAGGAUGGAGAUUUCAUUCGUCCGGGAACUUUUAGAAUUGCAGCUAUGAUAGCCAAUAAGAAAACUUUUAGUCUUGUCGUUCCUGUCUUGUUAAGCAUUUAUAAUGGUUUAAACAGUAUUAUCAAAGGUUCACAACUUGAGCACAUUAAAGUAUCCUUUCCAAUCCAUUAUGUGUAUGGUUGGCUUGCUUACUAUUCCAAAAUAUUUCUCUACCUAAUGGGCUAUCCGUUCCAUUAAUGGUAGCAUAUUCUGGAGAAGGAGCUGCAAGAUUUUUUGAUGAAAGCAUGCCCGAAAGUGUAUCUAUCGAGGAGAUAAUAUUUCUUGGACUUCUACCAUGCCGAACAAGUCCAAUAUUCGUUAUUUUAUGGAUAAUGGUAAAGAAGCUGAUUCAGAGAUAAGUUACUUUAUGAGCCUUUGUUUUAACUCUCCUUUUUAGGUAUGAAGACUCAUUCAUCCUAGAGCCAUAUAUCCCGUAUCGAUUUAACCGUCAGUUUGGAUUUUAUCAAAACCUCCCUGGUAGCUAUGAUAUCGCAGUGCAUAACUUGAUGAAUGACUCAGAUAUUAUUGCAUUUGUAUGUUGCAUGGAUCCAUGGCAAAGGCAACUUUUCCUACGAUCAUACCUAAUGCACGAAAGCACUCCUCUACUGCGUAUAAAACUUGGUGGGACAAAGUUUAUGGGAACUUUCUUGAAGCUAACUUACAAUUCUUGGUGAAUGUUGUAGGCCCUAUUAUUGAUACUCCUCAAGAACAUGGUGAGGAGGUCCCAAUUGUGGUUAAGCCUCCUGUUUUAAAAUCUAAGGUGGUCAUUCCAUACAAAGUUAAGGGAGCUUCAUAUGCAGAAACUCAGAAAGAGAAGUUGUCUGUCCUGACUCAAUAAACUUUCAAUAAACGACCAUCUCAAGACGAGAGCGAUAGUAGUCAAGGAGAUCGUUGUUAGAAGAAGGUAAAAUCAUCAUUGGCAAAGCAAGGUGAUUCUAACUCCCAUGUGAAGAUUCUUGCAAGUUUAUCAAAGACUCUGCCAACCAUUGAGAAGCCAGACAAUGACCAAGUUUUGGAAGAUCCUGACCAAACUAAGCCACAAUAUAGUAGUGAGUCUGUAGUAGGUCUAGACUCAAGAGAGUUACCUUUGUCAUCCAAAGAGGUUACUUUUAACCCUUGCGGUAAAGUCAAAGCAAAUGUAGAGUCAAAAUUUCCCCGACAACCGGCGGUAACCAUGUCUAUUUUUAUGGCAAGAAGGUUAUUUCAGAGCUAAAAAGGGAAUUUAUCAUGAAGGCUUGGGCUAGUAUCCGUACCGAACUUAUAGGCCUUACUUCGAAUUGUGCCUCUUCUAUUCAAGAUGACGUCAAAGUCAUACUCAAUGACAUGAGUGGAAUGGGGGAAGAUAUUUCCCCUUUAUAAAAUUUAUUGGGGUCUUUAUUUAGGCUGGCGACUUCCUGUGACCAAGCACAAUCCACCCUUAUUGAUCAAACCACAACAAUUAAAAAGUCAGAGUCAUAUUUGAAAGCCAAAAAAUAUCUUGAGCUUGUAUUGAGAGAGAUAGUUGAGAAAUCUGAAAAAGUUUCUGCUGCCUGCAAAUCUCUUAAGAAGGCGAGAAAGAAGGUGAAUAAGUUGAAGGCUCGUCGAGAUAUUGCCAAGCAAGAAGCUGCAGAGAUGGAAUCCAAAGUUUCAACUGUUGAAGAAGAGUUUUCCAAGUGUUAUGAUGUCUCUCUUGCAAUGGCAAAUGCCUCAAAGGUCGUGGAGAAGAAGAAGCAAGUCUUAGAGGUUUUUUUACAAGACUUAGUCAAUUAUAAGUUAUACUUAGAUUAGCCUUAGGAGAUGUCUUCCGUCAGACCUUCUUGUGGCUUUCUUUUACUUUUUAUUGAAUAGUUGGAUCUAUUAGUUGUAAUGGAAACUCUUUUUCUUUAUAUUGCACAUUUAUUGUAAUAUCCUUUCUGAAUUUCAACACCGAGAAUUGCUUA